rnacentral:lncRNA from 1 species
GAAACCAACAAAUACUUCAGCAAUCAAUCAAAAAUUCAAAAUAACCAGAGUCUCAACUAAAUAACAAAAUUAUCACUUAUCACUUAUCAAGCACAUGCACUCAGGCAGUCAAAAUCACAAUUCAUAGUCGACGUCGUCCUCGUCGUCCCCCCGUUCCCCCAACAACCUUAGCUCAUCGUUGAUGGUCAUCGGGUCACCACCGUCCGACAUGUCGAGGUUGGCGGUCGGCCCUCCGGUUCCUCGAUGGCACGCGCCGCACUCGCCACGCACUCCAAGGAGCACCGGCCAACGACCUAGAAGAAAUUAGGAAAUUAGGGUUAGGGUUAGGGUUAGGGUUAGGAGGCCGAGACUCGAGAGCAGCGAGAAGGGGAGAGGGAGAGCUCACCUGCGCUGUCGGAGCACCAGAGUUGCCGAGAUUGGGGGG